rnacentral:misc_RNA from 1 species
CCAAUCCAAACUAAAAACCACUGUGAACUGGCUGAAGUACUUGGGCAAGUUUAAAUGGAGGUGGAGCCUUAAUUUUCUUUGUGAGUGAGUGUGCUCUGUCACAAGACUCAAAGAGGGAUUAUUGCUCUUCUUCACCCUUGCCCAACAGUAUUAACCACAAUUAAAUUUGUCAUGUUAAAACUGCUGACUUGUUGCUCUUGUAACUUGUCUGCUACAAAUGAAUCCAAAAGAUUA